rnacentral:rRNA from 1 species
AACGAACGCUGGCGGCAUGCCUAACACAUGCAAGUCGAACGGGAUCCGGACUUCGGUUCGGUGAGAGUGGCGGACGGGUGAGUAACGCGUGGGAACCUGCCCAGUGGUGGGGGAUAACUGCGGGAAACUGCAGCUAAUACCGCAUGAGCCCGAGAGGGGAAAGAUUUAUCGCCAUUGGAGGGGCCCGCGUUCGAUUAGGUAGUUGGUGAGGUAAUGGCUCACCAAGCCGACGAUCGAUAGCUGGUCUGAGAGGAUGAUCAGCCACACUGGGACUGAGAUACGGCCCAGACUCCUACGGGAGGCAGCAGUGGGGAAUAUUGGACAAUGGGGGCAACCCUGAUCCAGCAAUGCCGCGUGAGUGAUGAAGGCCUUCGGGUUGUAAAGCUCUUUUGGCGGGGACGAUGAUGACGGUACCCGCAGAAUAAGCCCCGGCUAACUUCGUGCCAGCAGCCGCAGUAAUAC